UACAGAGGGGGCAAGCGUUAUUCGGAAUUAUUGGGCGUAAAGGGCGCGUAGGCGGCUUGGCAAGUGGAAGGUGAAAUCCCUCGGCUCAACCGAGGAACUGCCUUCUAAACUGCUUUGAUUGAGUCCGGGAGAGGUCAGUGGAAUUCCCAGUAUAGCGGUGAAAUGCGUAGAUAUUGGGAGGAACACCAGUGGCGAAGGCGGCUGACUGGACCGGUACUGACGCUGAGGCGCGAAAGCGUGGGGAGCAAACGGG
rnacentral:rRNA from 1 species